AAAAAUGUUGAAUAUCAACAAUGGGUUUCAGUGCUGUAUUGUUGAGUUUUGUAUGAACUAAUCUAGCUUCACUAAAAAAAAGAAAAAGAAAAAAAAAGAAAAAGGAAAAAAAAGAGAGAAAAGAAAGAGGGAAGAAAAAAAGAAAAGGAAAAAAACCACAGCUUUGGACAAAAGUCUACACAGCCAGUGCAUCUGAAACUCCCCUUUGCACAGGCUGACUGUAGCUGGGAGAAGACAUUUUACUCAUUUGCUCUCUCCCUUCAUGUGGUCAGCUGGCCCCUCUUCUCAGGUGUAGAUCACCUAUUAUAAUUUCACCUAAUUUUGAUCCUCUGAUGGGGAAAUCCCCGAACUAAUCAACUGAGAUAGGCCUUACUUCCAAGGCAGCCCUGUGCAGUGUGUGCAAGCAAGCCUGACAGGUUUCUCCAGGAAAGUGGCCAUCCAUGGAAUGAAUGAAAUGUUCUCUUUCUAUUCCAGGGAUUGCUGUGCAAAGCUAGGCUAGGUCUGGAGGCUGGUGUAAGGCGAUGCGGGUGAAGGCAGGAGGCUGAUGGAGAGAGAGACUGGGGGGAAGAAAAGCCGAAAUGGAUUCACGGUGCUUGGGAUAGAGGACGAGAAGGGGAACUGCUAGCUCCUUCAACUCGUUCUGUCCGGUGAGAAGUGAUCAAGCCUGGCUGACAAGAGGCUCAGGGAGCCCUCACGUACUUUGCUUUUUUACCUGCCAAUCAAACUGCUACAAGACAACACCCUGAUCUGGCAUGGACAUCGCGGGUCCAAGCCUGUAGCCCCAAAUCGGAUAAUCUCUGCAGCUGAUAACAAGCGAAAGAGAAGCCAGGCAACAGCCAUAUUAAAGAAGAAAACAAUCAACUCUGAGAUCCAACUUAGAAAUAACGUUUGGCUCAAGCUAAAGCUCAUGUUUGGAGAGAGAAUCUGGCCUGGUUUGCCUCAUUCUAAGACUUAUGUCAUCUGCUUUCCAAACCCAGGAAGGACCUCCAUUUCCUGUUGUUGGCUCCUUAUACUUUGCCAGCUGUUGGCACUUUCAGGAAGCUUGACCAGAAAGCCUGGCUGGGAAGGACAGUGUGAGUGCAUCAUAGACAAUGGAUUGUCACCACAGUUUCAGUGACUCAUCAGCGUGGUUGCCCACUUUGAAAUCUCAAGAUCUGUCUGAUCUAAUUGAAACACCUGUGUUUUAGCUGGUUGAAUUGUAUUACAUGGCAAAACCACCUCAAAUUAUGUCCGUGACCAAUAAUUUCUAUGGCUGUUUUCAACAGAAGACAAAGAAAGAAAUGAUUCCUGAAUUGUCCUUUUUUGAAAAAGAAAAAUAA